rnacentral:rRNA from 1 species
GAUGAACGCUGGCGGCGUGCCUAAUACAUGCAAGUCGAGCGAACGGACGAGAAGCUUGCUUCUCUGAUGUUAGCGGCGGACGGGUGAGUAACACGUGGAUAACCUACCUAUAAGACUGGGAUAACUUCGGGAAACCGGAGCUAAUACCGGAUGAUAUUUUGAACCGCAUGGUUCAAAAGUGAAAGACGGUCUUGCUGUCACUUAUAGAUGGAUCCGCGCUGCAUUAGCUAGUUGGUAAGGUAACGGCUUACCAAGGCAACGAUGCAUAGCCGACCUGAGAGGGUGAUCGGCCACACUGGAACUGAGACACGGUCCAGACUCCUACGGGAGGCAGCAGUAGGGAAUCUUCCGCAAUGGGCGAAAGCCUGACGGAGCAACGCCGCGUGAGUGAUGAAGGUCUUCGGAUCGUAAAACUCUGUUAUUAGGGAAGAACAUAUGUGUAAGUAACUGUGCACAUCUUGACGGUACCUAAUCAGAAAGCCACGGCUAACUACGUA